AGAAAUWKAGGUUACACCACCAAACCAAGGGCCUUCAAAGCCCUAAACAGGGACCCCCCCCUAAUUUCUG
rnacentral:tRNA from 1 species